UUUUCUCUCCAUCUCUCUUUCUCUCUCACCUUAGCGGAAACCUCUGGGGCCACAGGAGAGGCUGAAGGAACACCUGCGGCUCAAGAGGGCAGCUCCAGUUCAUUAGCAGCCGUCCUGUGUAGUGUGGGUGUGGCCAUAGUGGGCGCCGUCACUGGAUACUUCACCUAUCAGAAGAAGAAACUCUGCUUCAAAAAUAGAGAUGCCGAUCCAGAAGCAGCCCGCAAAGCUGAUGCAGCAGAGGCCCAGUCAGACCCCCAGGUUCUUAGCAACUUGCUGAACUCCUCCUAGACCGACAGCGAUCACAUGACUGCCUGGACCAACCACAGUCAAGCAAAGGAGUGAUCUCACUGUUAGGCUCUACCAUCUAUAGAGCGAUAUUACUGUGAGGCCCCAAUGUAGGGCUGUGUGUGUGUGUGUGUGUGUGUGUGUGUGUGUGUGUGUGUGUGUGUGUGUGUGUGUGUGC